rnacentral:lncRNA from 1 species
ACAGAAGAAGAAAGAAGCAACAAAGUUUUUUAGCUUCAUUCUAUGAACUGACAAUAAUAGGUGAACAGGGCAGUUUGUUUGAGUUUUAAACGUUUAUUCCCUCUUCACUGAUAACUAGUUACAUUAUAAGCAGCCAGUCACCAGGUUACACGGUCACCGGUUGAUGCACAACAAUGGGUUAGACUUUAUUAGCUGAGUGAGGAUUUUUUGCCCUAAACUUGAAGAAUCUGAGAUUAUUAACAUGUCCACAGAGAAAACGUCUGAUGUUGCCUUCAACCACAAACAUCACAACAGAUUAGGCUUUAUGGACCACAGCGCUGUCCUGGAUGUGGAUCCACAACACGGGUCUUUGAUCCACAAAGCAAGAAUCAAGGCUGAGGACAGUCCCACCACAACAGAAAGCUUCAGCCCAUCAGCGUCCCACGCCCUGCCUGCCAACGAAGGCUUCAGUCGAGAACAAACGCUGUUCUUCAUCGACCUGAUGCGGCAACACCUGGAGACGGAAGCCGACGGCCUCCCAAAGACCCUGAAAGAGCUGAACUCUCGUCUGAAGUCUGCCAGGUCCAACUUGAGGAGCCUGUGGAAGGAGACGGCAGAGACGCUUAGCAGCCACUUCUCCGAAUCCUUCUGUCCUGAUAAAGUGGCCAGGAAGUGGAACACGCUGAUCGAGGCCUACAGAAAAAUAAAGGAGAACAACAAAGACACGGGAAGAGGAAACAUCCGCUUCCGUUUCUUUCCAGAGAUGGACGAGCUCCUAGCGGGGCAGCACGACGUGGUCUUUCCUGCGUUUGGCUCAUCAGUGCGGCUAAACGUGAGACCGGAGGUUCUUUGGCCCUCGGUUGUUGGCGGGUCCCUAACAGAGGCUGGCCCCGCCUCCAGCACCCACACGGCUCCGACACGGCCUCACAAGCGUCGGCGCGGACAAGAUGACGUCCUCCAGUUCCUCCGUGAGUCCGAGGAGGCCAGUCAGAGGCGCCACGAGGAGGCACAGCGGCGCCAUGAAGAACUGCUGACUCAGCUGAAGUCGGCCCAGCAUGGGUUCGAGAGCCUGAUGGGUCGACUCCUAGAGAAACUAUGAGUCAUCAUUGUUCACACUUUUUUAUACAGUGUACCUGAGG